ACCCGAAAAGCUCGAAAAACCCGGGUUCCAUUUUUGAAGCCCGGGUUUUUUCGUGAGCCCAAAAACCCGGGUUUUCCCGGGUUUUCGAGUUUCGGGAAAACCCGGUCUCGAUGCCCUAAUUCGUAACAAAUGUA